rnacentral:rRNA from 1 species
GUCUAUGGCCAUACCACCCUGAACGCACCCAAUCUCAUCUGAUCUCAGAAGCUAAGCAGGGUCUGGCCUGGUUAGUAUUUGGAUGGGAAACAGGGACCAGCAGGGUUCAGGCA